CUGGCGGCACGCCUCAUACAUGCAAGUCGAGCGCGAAAUCGCCUUCGGGUGACGUAGAGCGGCGAACGGGUGAGUAACAGGUGGGUAAUCUGCCCUUUGGCGGGGGACAACAGCUGGAAACGGCUGCUAAUACCGCAUGUGGUUGUGUGUUCAUGACGCACAAAGAAAGGCGCUUCACGGCGCCACCAAAGGAUGAGCCCGCCCCCCAUUAGCUAGUUGGUGAGAUAACAGCUCACCAAGGCAUCGAUGGGUAGCCGAGCUGAGAGGUUGAUCGGCCACACUGGAACUGAGACACGGUCCAGACACCUACGGGUGGCAGCAGUAGGGAAUAUUGCGCAAUGGGCGAAAGCCUGACGCAGCGAUGCCGCGUGAGUGACGAAGGUCUUAGGAUUGUAAAGCUCUUUUCUGAGGGAAGAAUAGGUCUGGUAGGAAAUGACUGGAUUCUGACGGUACCUCAGGAAUAAGGAACGGCUAACUCCGUGCCAGCAGCCGCGGUAAUAC
rnacentral:rRNA from 1 species